AAUGCUGGGUCCCGCCCCUUCUUCCGGCUGGGUUCCACUACCUGCAAGGCUGGAACUGACAGCCACUGUGCAAACAAAAAAAGGCAACAAGCAUGCUGGGACCAUUCUGUCUGCUGUUUGGGUCUCACUUGUCCUGACAACUAAAAAUCAUCAGUGGAAAGAGGUUGCAGCAUUUGAAAAUUAUCAAAAAGCAGCAGAGACAAGUUUGGGUGGUUUCCAGGGGAGAGGCACUGAAAGUGAUUGAUUCCUAUCAAAAGCACAAGGACAGGAAGCUAGAGUCAUCCUAACAAGAGUGAUAGUCUUUCCCCAAGUGAGACCAGGCUGUGCUGUCUGGGGAAAAGCAUUGCUGGCCUUGUCGAGAUGCACCGACGACUCAGCUCAGCUAAGGACUUAACCAGUACAGGACUUGCUGCAGCGGAGCCUGAGCUGGAUAUGGAAAGCAAAAGAAGCAAGAUCUCCCUAUGUUGCCAAGGUUGGUCUGGAACUCCUGAGCUCAAGUGAUCCU
rnacentral:lncRNA from 10 species